UGGGCGUUUUCACGCGGGAAAGUUGAAUUUAGUUUGAUACAACUGUGUGGAGUUUUAAGUUAAAUUUUCUUUAUAAAAGCGUUUGGAUUAUUUUAACAUUCUACUGAUUCUAUAAGCCGAAGAAAUAAGACAUGAAAGAGAAGAGAAUAUUGUGCCGAAGAGAUUACUUGAUAGCUUUCGAUUGUGUUCAAGUGGAAUAGAAUGGGAACAAUCCUACCGCAACAGAACAGGCUACUGGAUUCCAUGCCACUGUUCAUCGCACCUGUAACCCAGAGGGUGGCAACCCUAAUCUACGGAAGGAGUCGCCGGACGGGCGUAACCGGGAACAAGGG